GGCCUUUUGAAAGUUAAUUUAAGGUCUAAUCUGCCCACUGAAAAUUAAAUGGCCGCGGUAUUUUGACCGUGCUAAGGUAGCAUAAUCAUUAGUUUUUUAAUUGAAAGCUGGAAUGAAUGAUUGGAUAAGAAAAUAACUGUCUUUAUUUAAAUUUUUAUGAAUUUUAUUUUUAAGUUAAAAAGCUUAAAUAAUUUUAAUAGACGAGAAGACCCUAUAGAGUUUUAUAAAUUUUUUAUUUUAAUCUUUUAGAAUUAAAAAUAUAAAAUAAAAAAUUUAUUUAAUUGGGGUGAUUGAAAAAUUUAUUAAACUUUUUUUUAAUAAUUACAUUAAUUUAUGAAUAAUUGAUCCAUUAAUUGUGAUUAUAAGAUUAAAUUACCUUAGGGAUAACAGCGUAAUUUUAUUUGAUAGUUCAAAUUAAAAAUAAAGUUUGCGACCUCGAUGUUGGAUUAAAAUUUAUUUUUGGUGUAGAAGCUAAAAUAUUAGGUCUGUUCGACCUUUAAAAUUUUACAUGA
rnacentral:rRNA from 1 species